rnacentral:rRNA from 1 species
CAGUCGCCACGGUAAAACGUAGGUGGCAAGCGUUGUCCGGAAUUAUUGGGCGUAAAGGGCUCGCAGGCGGUUUCUUAAGUCUGAUGUGAAAGCCCCCGGCUCAACCGGGGAGGGUCAUUGGAAACUGGGAAACUUGAGUGCAGAAGAGGAGAGUGGAAUUCCACGUGUAGCGGUGAAAUGCGUAGAGAUGUGGAGGAACACCAGUGGCGAAGGUGACUCUCUGGUCUGUAACUGACGCUGAGGAGCGAAAGCGUGGGGAGCGAACAGGAUUAGAUACCCCAGUAGUCCCUGUCUCUUAUAC